UUCUUUGCUCUUCUCGGUCACAUCAUAGAUCUUGGUGAUGAAGACCAGAAGAGCAAAGAAGA
rnacentral:pre_miRNA from 1 species